UUCAUUCUAAUUUCUACCUUUAUCAUUUCUAUAAAAUUAAGAAUAAAUAAGGGAAAAAAGAGAAGUAAAUUUGAAGACUGGACUUCAAGAAGAAUUUCUGGAAACAAAGUGAUUUGAUUAUUACGAUUGUCUCUCCCCUAUAACACAAUUUUUACACUUGCAGGGAGGACUUUAGACUGUAAAGAACUAGAAAAAGGAGGAUUUAGGGCAACAAUCGAAAAAUAGAAGACAGAAAAGGCUAGGAAAGAAAAGAAAAAACAAAAAAAAAAAAAAAGAAGGAAAGAAAAGAACUAAUAACAAGGAUAAGUUUUCCGUUUAGGGCUGUAAAACCAUACCUGUAGCCAUUCUUUCAAAACCACUAAUAGAUCAUAGGUUUUUACCCAUGAAUCCUCUACACUGUAGAACAUCGUCCUUUUCUAGCUCUUCUUCCGGGAAGACUAGUGAUUCAAAGCAUGUUGUGAGUUCAGAAGAAUUCGUUAUUGAGAACUUUGAUAAAGCAAUUGAUUGUUGGGAACUUCCAAAAAUUUCCAAAGAAAAGAUUUACAAAACAAAAAUGCUUGAUAUUUUAAAACAUGAUUAUAUUAUAAAGACUGAAGAACGUGACAUAACUCUUUCAGAGCCUUUUGAAACAAUUUAUUUGUUUUCAGAAAAAUCUUUAAAGAAAUUAAAAGAAAAGAAUUUCAAAUACAUUCACAUUGGUCUUAUCCAAGUCGGAAUAAAGCCUUUAACAAAAGAAGGUCUUGACACUUCCAUUUUAGCUGUCUUAAGAGAUGGGCGAUUCAUCUCUUUCGAUGAUUCAUUGCUAAGUAGCAUCGAAUCUAGUCUCUGUAAAGGUCCAAUUUCUUUUGAUUGUUAUCGUAAUAUAACAAUUUCUCUUAAAGACAAAAAUAUUUUAAAAAGCAUGAUUUUACAACUGCUGUACCGUACAUCCGCCUUGGCCGUACAGCAGCAUGCCAUCAUUUUGGGAACUCCUUUUAUAAAUCUUAUAACUCCAUAUACUGUCAAUUAUGAUAGUAUAUCCUUCAAAGCAACAAAUAAGAGACUUGUUUUCCCUUUUAUUGAAAAACCCAAAACAAGGAAUUUGAAUAUUGUCAAAGCUUGUUCUGUUUACCAAAACAAAAUUAAUGCCAUUCUUAUGUCCAAACGAGAUGAUUUAUUUUGUUUACAAAAAGAUUUGUAUUUCCAAAGAAUUGGAAGUCAAUUACAAAAUGACUUUAUACAAAGAAAAAUCUCCGAUUUCAAAAGCCUUAUUGAAAAAGAAAUAUGUGCCGAUUUACCAUCUGCUUUUUGGAAUAGAAAACAACAUUUGGUAGAUUUGCCUUAUGAAAAUUCGUUUGAUGAAAAGCAAAUACCUACCAAAGCGCGUCCAAUCCAAAUGAAUAUGGAAUUGGAACAACAUUGUAAAAAUGAAAUAAAUGAUCUUGAAACUAAAGGACUCAUUGUAAAAUCCAGAUCACCUUGGUCUUGUGCCGCUUUUUAUGUUAAUAAAAAUUCUGAAAUAGAAAGAGGCGUACCUAGACUUGUGAUAAACUACAAACCUUUGAAUAAAGCUUUAAAAUGGAUUAGGUACCCAAUACCUAAUAAAAAAGAUUUGCUCCAAAAACUUUGUUCAGCUUUCAUUUUUUCUAAAUUUGAUAUGAAGUCUGGUUUUUGGCAAAUACAAAUUCACCCUAAAGAUCGAUAUAAAACAGCUUUUACUGUUCCCUUUGGACAAUACGAAUGGACAGUAAUGUCUUUUGGUUUGAAAAAUGCACCCUCAGAAUUUCAAAGAAUCAUGAACGAUAUAUAUAUAUAUAAGUUUGAGUAAAUUUUUAUAGUACUUUUAAGAUUAAUUUGUUAAAUUAUCAAUUUUCUUUUAAUUAACGUCUCAAAAAUAUUGUUGUAAGGGUAUUAUUAUAAAAAAAAAAGAGUAAAAGUGUAAAGUUCCGUUAGGUAUAACUUUUCAAAUAGAGCUUAUUUAAAAAUAGAGUUUUUAUUCAAAAAAUUUUAGUUGUUUGCUUGUUCAUGAGAGCUUUUAUUAAAACUUAUAAACUUAUUUUAAUAAGUUUUUUAAUGAAUAAAAUUAUUAAAAAGAGUAAAAGGUAUUUUGGACAUUAUAACAUUUAGAAAAACUUUUCAACAUCUAUUUCUAAAAGUGUAAAAUUUGAGUUUUUACUAGUAAAGACAAUAUAACUUACUUAAUUUUCAAAAACACUACUAAAAAAAAAGAAAAAUAAUAUAAAAAUAACAGCUUAAACAAAUACUAACAUAUUUAACAAUAGAGAUGUCUUGAAUUUUUUUUUAAAAUAUAAGAAUUAAAUAAAUAUUUAAUUCAAAAUAAAAAAACUAAUUAAAUAUUUACCCACUUAAGGAGUUACAAGCGCGAUUGUUAAUCAAGAAAAAUUAGAAUAGAAAAAUUUGUUUAUUUAUAGUAUACUACGAGGGGGCUUGUUAUGGUUGGCGGGAUUUCAGUUCGACUGUAAAAGUGUGUGACCCAAAAAGGUGACGUGGCCCUUGAUCGGCAACAAGAGUUACAAGACAAUACGGAAUGGGCUUCCUGGCCCCAAAAAUUUGGCCUUUUUGAUGUACUUUGUUUAUGAGUUAAACUAUUGGCACCUAUUCCUCAAUAUUGUGACAGUUAAUUUUAUUAUAAUUAUAUUUAUGAACAAAUAAAAAUAAAAUUAAUUCCACUUAUGUGUUUUUUUUUUCUGUCUCGACGUUACUCUUUUUGUCGAAUUGCAAUUUCUUUCACUAAAAAUUUAAAUUUAUCUCCUUUUUUCUCUUUUUCUUUUUCUCUUUGUUCGCUUAAAUGCUCUUUAUGGUUUCUCACUUUUUUUUGUUUUUUUUUAAAUGUACAUACUAAUAUAAACUUAGAAACAAAAGUCAGGACCGAUUAUAAAGUAUUAGGGACAUUAGGUAAAAUUUGUUUGUGAGGCCUCUUUACAUUUAGUAGCUUUAACGCUCAAAGUUCAAAAUUUAAUCAAUUUUUAACUAAAUAUUGAAUAUUAACAAUCAAUAAGAUAGUAAAAAAUUUCAAAAAAGAAAAACAAUUAAGAUUUUUUUAAAUUUCCUAGGACUAUUAUUUCAAGAAUUUUUUUUUUACCUCAAAAGUAAAAAAAAAAAUAAAAGCAAUAAUUUUCUUUAUAGAUAAUUAAGUUUUUUUUAGAUAGAUAAAUAAUUUUUUUUAUUUUUUUGGAAAAAACUAAUAAUGAUUAAUAGUUAAUACUAUUAAUUAUAUCUCUUCAACAUUAAAGUUAUCAAAUAUAAAAUUUGGGUAAAAAAUUUUAAUUGUAAGAUAAUUAUCAAUUAAAGAGAGGCCUAAAAUUAGGCUUUCUCAUUAUAAGUAAGUUAAAAAAAUUAAUUUUAGUAUAUUAAGGAAAUUAAAAAAAAGAACAAUCUUCUAACAUAUGAGGACUAGGAGGCUACAAUGAGGCCUUCUUAACAUAUGAGGUCAUAGAUGACUAUUUAGUUCGCUUAUACUUAAAGCCACUCUUGAAUUACAAAAGCUUUCAAUAUUUAAAAGACUAGAUGGGUUGGUGUUAUAGAUUUUAAGAAUGAGCAACUUACUGAAAAUUAGAACAUUUACAAACGAAAAGAAUUGAUAUUUAGAAUAAAAUGAAAUUUUUAAGGGUCCAGUUAUGGCGCAACUGUGGUACCAUACCACAGCUGCACCCAGCUAUUGGAUCCAUCUAUAGUGAUAAUUGUGGGUUGAAUCUAAUGGUUGAGUGCAGCUGUAGUAUGGUACUACAGUUGCACCAUAGUUUUGCCCUAUUUUUAAUAUUAAGUAGAGUGUAAUUGCAAAAGGGAUCCGCCUACCAUACCACUGUGGUAUGGUACCACGCUUUUUGUCUUCUUUUAAAACCACUGUUCGAUGAUUGAGAGAAAAUCUAACGGUUGAGAAGAGCUAAAGGAAAAUUAUAGCAACCGGUUGCUCCAAGGCACUGUGGAAAACUUUAAUCAAUUAAUAAAGAUCCAGAUAUUGUGUGAAGGUUCUUAUUUGAUUAGCUUUGAAUGGCCAUCAUACAAAACCCUUCCAGAACCGAUUAAUUGCUGAAAUCAUUUGCAGAGAAAAAAUGUCGAUAAACCUAAUAAUUUCCGAUGGAAUCGUAGUGGUAUUCAGCCAAAUUAGUUCGAAACGACGUCAGAUAAUAUGAAGGCAAACAAAAAUUUUGUGGCCGACAAUUGCAGCACAUGGUGGUUGGAGCUGAAACUUUAGGAAUUAGGCACAUCUGAGUAAAAAAAAAAAAUACUGGAAAGAUGUGUGUUUGAUCGGUGAUGAUGCAUUCAAUCGAACGCAAUAGGUAAGUCCUUAUAUUUUAAUAAAAAUUAAAAAUUAGAAUUAGAAUAUAAAUAUAAACAAAAUCCAUUCUUGUAUCGUCCCCAAGCCUCUCAUCUCCCAAAGAUCUCUCAGUUCCCAAGCAGCAAGCUCUUCUCUCUCAACUCUCAAGCCAAUCAACUCACCGCUGACGUUGAUUGGUCAUCACGCCAAGCCUUCAGCCUCCCCAGUAGCCAUCGCACUACCAAGUCUCCGCCGCACCAACAGCCACGCAAUUUCUCGUUGCUCAGUGCAUGCUCCACCCACAAAACCAGAGUCUUGUCACCAUCGCCAGCCAUCAGCAUUCUCCAACUACAAUAAGCCGACAAUUUUUCAUGAUUUUGUUAUGUGUACUUGCGCUGGAUGAAGCUCUGAUAACUUGAAUCCCUUGCCCCAAAGACGGAUUGAUUGCUUUUGUGUUGGCAUAGCCUUAGAGGUAAGAUAGAGGUAAUAAAAUAAUUGUACAUUGUUCGCUGCAAUUUAGAACCCUAUAUGAAUCACAGAAACAAACAUUUCGUCAAUUGUACUUACCGACCUGUAAACAGCGUUUGUUAUUGUACUUACCGACCUGUAAACAGCACAAGUGUGACAACAUCAAGUGAAUAGUUCAGACCACGAUGAGAUGAGGAAGACAAGCACUGUAAAUAUUAUAUCCUGUAUCCAGAUAGAUUACAGAUGAAAUCAGAUCGAUCUGAGAUGAAAUCAGAUCACCCGUUGCCGUACUAGGAAUUUCCCACGAUUAAGAAGAUUUCCUAUCACUCAAGUUAUAUUAUAUUAAUAUAUUACCGGCUCCAACAGUUGUCAGUUUUUGCUUCUAAUUUCAAAAAUUUAUUUUAGCCAUUAGAUUUUCUCUCAAUCAUCGAAUGGUGGUUUUAAAAGAAGACAAAAAGCAUGGUACCAUACCACAGUGGUAUGGUAGGCGAGUCCUUGCAAAAGAGGCUUAAGAGGAUUUUGGGAUGCCAAUACUAAGUACAUCUAUUUGUUCCGUUUGCGUGCUCUGGAGCAAUGGUGCAAGAAUUUGGGCCAGGAAAGCUCUAUACAAGCCCAACUUGAUCCAUCGGGCUAGAGUACUGUUUCUUGUAUUCAUAGUUCCCCACCCGAAGGAAAACCCUAAUUCUCUGUCAUCUCUCCCACUAGCUUUUCUUUGCGAUCCCAAGGCUUUCCAACGCUCCACCGGAAACUCCAUUCGUCGCGGAAUUCAGGAAAACAGAGAAAGAAGAAGAAAAAAGCAAGCAUGAGACCAAUUUUGAUGAAAGGCCAUGAGAGGCCUUUAACAUAUCUUAAAUACAACAAAGACGGAGAUCUGCUCUUUUCAUGUGCCAAGGAUCACACACCCACCGUUUGGUUCGCUGACAACGGCGAGCGUCUUGGCACAUACCGUGGCCACAACGGCGCCGUUUGGUGCUGCGAUGUUUCAAGCAAGUCAUCUCUUAUUACUUUUAUUUUCCAAUUUCAAUUUUCUGCUGCUUCGCUCAAGCUACAUGUUUUGCAUUAUAUUGCUGUUUUAGACGGAUAAAAUAUUGAUGAAGAUAUUUGGAUUGAAUUACAGGAGAUUCGAUGACGCUAAUAACCGGGAGUGCUGACCAGACGGCGAAGCUAUGGAAUGUUGAAACAGGGGCUCAGUUGUUCACAUUCAAUUUUGAUUCUCCAGCUAGGUCUGUCGACUUUGCUGUUGGUGAUAAGCUUGCUGUGAUUACUACUGAUCCUUUCAUGGAAUUAAACUCAGCCAUUCAUGUCAAACGCAUUGCAAGAGAUCCUGCUGAUCGUAUGUUUACUGCCUACCUUUCUUCAAUUUUAAUGACUUGUAUAUUUCUCCUGUAUGAUGAAUUCUCACAACUCAGUUUCUUAAGUUAUACUUAUCUGUGUAUUUUUCGAUAAAACAUGCCAAGCUUUUGAUCUGUCAUCAUCUUCAUGCCUUGACAUUUAGGUCCAUUGAUGUUAUACGCUUCUUUUUGUUUAUGAAUAGGCUUUGAAAUUUACAAAGGAUCAUUUCUGCUGACUAAUCUUGCCAAUAACCUUUUGUAGAGGGUGGUGAAUCUGUGCUUAUUCUAAAAGGCCCUCAGGGAAGAAUAAACAGAGCAGUUUGGGGACCGCUAAACAGGACUAUCAUUAGUGCUGGAGAAGAUGCUAUAGUUCGUAUUUGGGAUACUGAGGUACGGGUUAUAUUGCUUGUGGAUCUUCUCUAAUACUUGGUCAAAUUAUUUUAUUUUUUGCCUUCAUAACCUGAAACUCUGUUAUCCUCUGGCUCUUUUUCAAAUGACCCUAACUUUAGUUCUUAUUUUGAAUUUCAUUAAAUUUGUUUAUGUUUUAGCUUACUUCUAUAUCAAAUUUGCAGACAGGGAAACUGCUUAAAGAGUCGGACAAGGAAACUGGUCAUAAAAAGACUAUAACAUCGCUUGCAAAAGCUGCUGAUGGAUCACAUUUCCUCACUGGUUCCCUUGAUAAAUCUGCUAAGGUAGUGUUUCUUGAGAAAACAUGAUAUUUUGGAUCAUGCUUUUUGAGAUUGUGCAUUCUGCUAUUCUAGGUUUAUCUGUUUAAUUCUACUGCCUGAUCUUUUCUUGCUUUUCUGCAAAUGCUUUUUCAGCUUUGGGAUGCCAGAACACUGGAGCUUAUCAAGACCUAUGUGACGGAGCGCCCGGUCAAUGCUGUUACUAUGUCUCCACUUCUUGAUCAUGUAUGUAUUGGUGGACUGCAAACUAUUAAGUUUAUGCUAUUGGUCUAUUUAUUUGUGUUGUUCCUUGACAAACUAUUUUACAACUUAUACUGUUCCAUAUCAAGGAAAUAUAUAUAUGAUGAUUUAUUGAAUUUUGAUGCUGGUCCUCAACAUUUCAUAUUUCAUAUUUUAUUUUUUAUUUUUUUAAUUCUUUCCUCUGUAAGACUCUAGGUUCUGAAAAGACUUCAGAUCAAAUGCACACGUACUUCUAGCAAUGAGAUUUACUAUACCUGCAGUUAGAAAAUAUUUACAAUGGUAAAGCUAAUCUCCUCUGCCUGAUAGCAGUCUGCCAGUCAGUUCCAGCAAAUGACAAUUUGACUCUGCCCAGUAUUUAAAUGGAAUUUGCAUUUUUCAGUACAUCCUAUAAUUAUCACUGGAUAUUAAAGUAUAAUAUAGGAAAUGAUCUGGUGGAAUGUAGUUAAAAUGUUUUCAUGGUUAAGCUUGAACCGAAGAUUGACAUUGUUUUGUUAAUAGUAUAUUACAUUCUUUUAUGAAUUAUACGGAACAGAAUGGUACAUAGAGGAUAAAAACAGGAGGUUUUUGCACAAUUGCUUCAUCUGGAAACAGAUAUUUUUAAUCAUGCAAUUCAGUGGAAUUAGGCUAUUUUAAACUUCUGAUAUUGUCAUUAGGUGAUUGGAUCUUCUUUAACUUUGUAACUUACAGAUGGGUUUAUUGUUUUCCCUUUGUGAAGAGAUUCUGAGCAUUAAUUUGACUUGUGUCUAUUGUCAGAUGCUAGACUACUUCGUUGUGAAUUGUAUAACUACUGGAUACCAACUAUGCAACAAAAGUUUGAGCAAUAUGAUAUUUAAUUGAAAAGGUUGCUGAAGUUUUCAUAUAACAAGAGAAAAUUAUUAGUUUGGAGGUCUUAUUUGUUUCUGAUUGAUUGUUGUGUGUUUGUAUAUGAUAGUUGAACUAAUCUUCUGCAUGAUUGGAGGGGACAGUAGCACUUUGGUGUUAGUAAUGCUGUAUAGUGUUUAUGAAGGUUUGCUUGCCAUAGUCCCUGUAUAUGCAGUGUCUAUAGGUGCCAUGUUCCAUAAUUAGCCUGGAGGAGUUGACUUUAUUUAUACUAAAAUUGCUUACUCACUGGAAUACAAUUCAUGUAUAAAUUAUUAUAGGUUUGAUCAUGUCUCAUGCUAACUGAAUAAUGAAAUGAUGCAUGCUGUUUUAUCUGCUCUACCUUUAUUUGAUGCCCUUAUAGCCCUUUCUUUAACCAUCUGGAUUUCAAUGGUUUUGUCCUUCCUAGGUGGUCCUUGGAGGUGGUCAAGAUGCUUCAGCUGUCACGACAACUGAUCAUCGUGCAGGGAAGUUCGAAGCUAAAUUCUUUGACAAGGUUGAUAUUUUUUUGAUUGAUUACUUUGUAUUUCACAAAAAACUGUGGUUGUGGAAUUUCAUUAAUUUCUUAUGUUAUAAUGUUGCUUGUGUAGAUUCUCCAAGAAGAAAUUGGAGGUGUUAAAGGACACUUUGGACCUAUAAAUGCCUUGGCUUUCAACCCUGAUGGUAAAAGGUAUGGCUUUCUGUUAUUGCAGAUACACGUCAGUUGAUGUGGGAAAAGCUUUUAGUCAGUUAUAUAUGAUCAUUGUCCAAUGUCCUACUUUUGUUUUGUAGCUCAAUUAGAAGCUAUCUGUUUUUUGUUAUCUGAUGCAUGUAUAUUUGUGAUCAUGUAUGUUACAUCAUGUGCACUGUUCUCCAUAGCAGGUGAACAAGAUCAUGCAUCAUUGCAGUGUACUUAUGAAUCUCUCACCAAGCAAAAAGAUGCAUGUGUGCAUAAUUAAGUUUUGAUAAUUGAUGGCAUUAUAGUAAUAUUAUUUAUUUUUUAUAAAAAAAAAAAAAAUUCCCAAAUAACGGAUGGAUUUAUAUAAUAAAAACUGUUGCAUAUCAUUUAGUAUCCUUGGGGUUUUGUGCUUGGACAUGCAAAAACCUAUGCUAUUUUGGUGAUAACGAUUUGAAAAACUGAUGGUACGCCUGUGUCUUUAUUAGGCGAUAGUCUUUAUCACCCCCUCCCCCCUGUCUUUUCCUUCUUUCCCUCUCCUAAUCAAUAUGGUGAUUACAUGUUGAAGCCUUUAACUAUGAAAUAUAUUUAAAUUUGAUGUUUUUCACUAACGUUUUUUUAAUGUAAUUGAUAAUAUAUAGUUUCUCAAGUGGAGGUGAAGAUGGUUAUGUGAGGUUGCACCAUUUCGACCCGGAUUACUUCAACAUCAAGAUAUAAUUUUGGCGGAUUUGAAGAUUUUUUUUUUAAUUUUGGCGGAUUUGUGGACGUCAAUUUUUAUCCAUAUAAAUCAGCCUCUGCUCGACUUCAUUUUUGUAUGUUUUAGGAAUUGCAUUGUAUUUGCAAUAUCAAGGUUUCAUUUUCGUGUCAUUUUAUUAUUUUUGUCAUCUGUUUGCAGUUUAAUACAUAAAAGAGAAGAAAAAAAAAUUAAAAAAAAAAAGAAAGAUGUUUAAGUCCACCUGCUAUAUGUGAGGUUUUAAUAUUGAAGUGGUGCGUUCAUUGUUGGCAAAUUUUCCUUAUUGAGUUACUAGUGCCCCACUAGUGUCCUCUUAAAACCCUACCUUUAAGUACCUCAUUAAAAAUACUGAAAAUAUCAUCGUUGGUAUGAUCGCUCGCUUUAAUUUUAAAAUUUUUCUUCUAAAGAUCAUCAUAUUUUCUCACUCCAAAAGGACACAAAAAACACAAUUUUCUUAAUUUUUUUUGUAGCCAGUACCCAUAAUCCCUCCGUACUUCUCUUGGUUAAGUAAAAAUUUAGAGAUUAAAACCAAUCUCCAAUUAAAAGAAUUCGUGUUGGAUGUACAAGGCACGGGAAAAAAGGAGCUACGUUGCAUGUCAAAAGAUAUUCCUGUGGCAAGUAUCAGUACUUUACAUGCAGUUGGUGUGGGUGCAAAUAAGAUUUUUGGUACAAUGGCAAAAAAUAAAUGGUACAUAUGGAAAUGUUGGGUAUACUGAGAAAGAUAUUAGUUUUACCUUUUAUUUGUAUUUUAUUGUAAUUUAUCAUAGAACUUAUUAUACAGAGUGAAUCUAAAAUGUCUAAUAAGAAGAUAUAUAAUGAAUCUUUAAAGAAAAUUUUCUAGUCAAUAUUUCUUUCUUCUUUUUUUUUGAGAAGAAAUAUUUAUCAGAUGUUUCAACAAUGCUAAAUAUUCGUAAGACUUUCUUUAAAUACUUUUUGAUUUUUAAAAUUUAUUAUUAGUGUUGUUAUAACAUUUAUAUAUUUGUAUAGGUUUGAAUAUAUUGAUAUUCAAGCAAAAAAUCUCUGGACACUUUCAAAAUAAAAUGAAGUUUUCAAGGCAACGUUGUAUUCUCGAAUGGAGAGAUGUUCCAUAUGGCAAAGAAUAACUAUUUUUGUGCUUAAUGUUCUUCGGACAAAAUUAUGUCAUUAGAAGUUGUUAAAAACUUCAUUGAAUGUUCUUAUUUUCGAAAUAUAACCGCACGCGAAGAACCAUUUGGUCAGGACAAUGAAGUUUAUAAACUGAAAUUGUUUCUAUUGAACAUUUGAAUUGGAGGCGUCCCAAUAGUUUGCGAUAUAUGAUUUUUCAGAAUUUUUUGCAUGGAAAACAAAAAGAGAAGAGUAAUUAAGUAAAUUGACGAAAGAGGCAAUUGGCAUUUGACUGUAAAUAUGUAUAAAGUGGUGGGUAAAAUAUUAUCAAAUGGUUUAUUGAAUGAAUGAGACAAAAUUACUUUGUGUGGAAUUAUUUGAACUCACCAAUUUUCUCUUUAUACUCUCUUUUUAAUUAAAAAUUUUAUUAUGUAAAUAACUUUUAAUAAUAACUCUUUCUUUUAUUUCUUUUUUCAAUUUUACAAACUCUCAUCGAUUUAUUCAAAUAUAUCCUCUUAACUGUAGAUAAUUUGUAUCAUUAACUAAGAGGAACAAAACUGGCCAUUUAAAAAUGAACAUCAACAAAUUUUUAUCGGUUAUGAAAGCUAAUGAAUAUAAAGAAAUUAAAUUAUUAUAUAUAGAAAGCAUGAAAUAUCGAUCAUGAUUUACUAAGAAAUAUCAAAAAAAUAGAUUAAAAAAAGAGUGAAAUUGAGUAUUUAGUUUUCAAUUUGUGAUACUAGAAGGGGAAUAUGUAAUUAUAAGAUAGAGAAAAAACGAUUAGAGAAUGAUAAUUUUAAGAUUUUAAAUUUAAAUUUUUAGUAAUAAAUUUAUUUUUUAAAUUAAGUAAUAGAGAAAGAUAUAGUGGGCUAAAAUAAACUAUGCAAUUACUUUUUUUGUGGAUUUCCAAUAAAAGUGAAAAUGGGCACAUGUUCAAUUUUAGCUGAUAGCCUCUAACUCAGCUCAAAGUGAGCUGAAAGAGAAUAUUUAAAAUUAAAAAAAAAAAUUGAUCGUAUAUAUCUUACAUUCAAAACAAUCUCUUUGAACACAUCACAUGCAAUAUUGUGUAAUCUUUCAAAUUAUAUAUAUGAUAUGCAUCACAUGGGCAGCUUUCCCGAUUGUAUUUUCUCUAUGUGUAUUUGGAUGAGAAUCCAAUGAAAAUUUUUCCCCUUGAUUUGAUGAUCAUCAUUGCUUUUAGAAGUUACAUUUCUUCCAUUUUCCGAUAGCUCAAUCAGGCUCAUUGGUCUAUAUCAAUUUGAUUAUAUUAUUCUGCAUCGAUGAAGACUUUAAAAUUUACGUCCAUUAAUUGUAGUUUCCUUAACGGUGGUAAUACCGGUAACUACACUCACAUACGAAUGAUGAUCGAUGAGUUCAUUUAUUUUGCCGCACGUACGUAGGAUUACAGUAAAAAAGAUUACAAAUUCAAUAAUCAGUCUACAAUUAGUCGCCGAAUACAUACAUAUAUCAUAGUUGUUAAGCUGCAACAUUUUUUUAUGUUACACUUACCAAAUUUUGUGUUAUAUAUUUUUCAAGUUUCAAAAUAAAGCUUAAAACUGGGUCGUGGCCUCAUCUUAUCACAAAUUUCAAUUGAAUUAUUUCACUUUGUUUUUGUAAAAUUAAUUUGACUGCAACACCUCAGGCAGUUGCAUAUAUCACUAUAAUCAAGACAACAUAAAAUGUUCAAAUUUAGGUCAUUCUUAAAUUAUAUUGGAGGUAAUUUACAACCAAUUAAUUUUAUCCAUUAAAUUUUAAUUCAAUGCAUGACGAAUAGUUUAUGCGAAGCAAAUAACAGCUUUAUGUCCGAAUCGAUCGAGAUGAAAAUUGAAACCCAGUACACGUAUGUAAAUACGGUUGAAAUAGAUAAAAAAAAAAUCAAUGUAAUGAAGUAAUUCAAUUGUAAUCUCAUUUCAGAAGAAUAAAAAUUGUGGUAAAAGUUUAAGUGAAUUUAGCUGACUAUAACUUUCUGUCAUGCAUAAAACAGACAUCGGGAAUGCCUGAUCCUGAUGUGCCCCUGAAAGAAAGAAAUGGUGACAAGGAGAGCUGAGCGGAGCUGACAUAAAUUGCUUUUUUAGAAUAAAUGGUGCAAACAGCCAAGGAGAGCUGAGCUGACAGGCUGCAGCUCAAUUAAAGGGCAAAAAUAUUAUCAUCCAGACAUGGCAACCAGAGCAAGACCAUAGCAAUAGAGACACUUCUGAAAAUGUUCAGGACAAAUCUUUUACAUUCUUUCUUUGAAUGUUAUCCAAUUGAUUUUACUGUAAAAUCCAGAACAAACCUCACAAAUAGGAAAAUCAAUCUCGAGCCCCAGUGAUGGCACACAAACAAGUACUAUUUUCUGAAGAAUCUAAAAAUUGAAGAGAUAGAAGAAAGGAUCAGACCUUGGAAAUGUUCAGCUGAACAUUACAAACAGAAAUAAGAGGCUGCACGAGGAGGACACUCGAGAGGUUUCGAACCAAUGAUUGAACACUAUCGCAUUGUCAUUUACCCCAGUAAAGCAUUGGAAAUAAUAAAGCUAAUAUCGGAGCUGACCUACUGCUGAAUCACAUGGGUGGCUCAAUAAUUUCCCGGAGCUCGUUACAGAGUCCUGUGAAGACGACAGAAUCUGUCUCAAUUGGUCUGAACUUGACAAGUGCUGAAGAAACCAAAUCGUCUUCCUCAAGGGUUAAGCAUUUUUUUGUUGAGAAAUUGAUUGGUGAAGCAGACACGCAACUAAAGUGAAAUUGAGAAAUAUAAGACAAAAGUGAAAUUGAAAAAUUGAUUGGUGAAACAGACACGCAACUAAAGUGAAAUUAAGAAAUAAUGAGACAAUAUAAUCACACAUAGACACAAGAAAUUACAUGAUUCGGCUUUUAGCCUACGUCCACGGGCAAAAAAAGAAGGAAAAUAUUUUACUAGUAAAAAUGAGUUACAAGUAUUGUAGUAUUUUAGCUCACUACUCAAAACUCCAAUACACCAAAACUCUCAAAUCACUAUAACAAGAGCUUAUAAUUUCAAAUUGUUUAAACUCUCUUUCUAAAAUGCUAAAUUGCUUUUCUCUCUAUGGAAUUAAUUUGCUCUUUCUCUUCGUUUCUAUUUAUAGAGAAAGUUUUGGCACAAUUCAUCAAUUAUAUACUAUUUUUAUUAUUUUAUUAAUUUUUUUUCUUUGUCCUUUUCAACCCGUUUCUAUUUUUUCCUUCUUUCUCUUUUUUUUUUCUUUUGUUCCAGUCAAAGACGGAAGCAAUGCCUUCUUCUUCAAAAUGGGCAGGCCCACCUUUUAAAAGGGUGUUGCCCGCAUGCUAUAUUUUUGUCAUUCUCUCACUUGGAGAUUUGACUGCGAGCCAAUCAUAUCUCCACACCAUCCUUUAUGCUUCGUCAUUGUCAUGUUGCCUACGUUUCUGGCUUUCUACUAGGCCACAAGAGGAUCUACUCCAGACAAACUUGUCAGCAUUGAUUGGCUUAGUCAAAACAUCUGUUAUGUUCUCAUUGGUAUGGAUUUUCUGAAAAUCAACACUUCCAUCUUCCACUACUUCUCAAACGAAAUGAUACUAAACUCCUAUGUAUUUUGUUCUUGAAUGAAGGUUGGAUUCCUUGCAAUAUGCAAGGCACUCCGACUGUCACAAAACACAGGAAUUUUCUAUUAUUUGUGCCCGAACUCCUCCAAUAACCUUUGUAUCCAAAUAGCUUCCUUGCAAGCUUGUGUAGCUGCCAUGUAUUUUGCUUCUAUUGUAGAUAAAGCCACAACGAUCUGCAGUUUCGAAAUCCAGCUUACAGCUGCUCCCACAAAUGUAAACACAUAGUCAGUAAUGGAUUUCCUUUUAUCAAGGCUGCUGUAAAAUCUAAAUCUACGUAGCCCCUAACAGUAAAUUUCGAUCCUCCAUAACAUAAUCCAACAUCUGAGGUUCCUUUUAUGUAUCUUAGAAUCCAUUUCACAGUUAUCCAAUGCUCUCCACCAGGAUUCGCCAUGUAUCGACUGACUGCUCCCACUGCUUGUGCAAUGUCUGGUCUAGUACAUAUUAUAGCGAACAUCAAAUUUCCCACUGCUGAUGCAUACGGUACUCGAGAUAUCUCAUUCCUCUUUGCUUCAUUGCUAGGACACAUGAAGAUAAUUUGAAAUUAACAAUAAGUGGGGUAGAAAUUGGCUUAUAAUUGUGCAUGUUGAAACAUUGCAACAUUUUCUUCAAAUAGUUCUUCUGAGAAAGCCAAAUCUUCCUGUUACUUCUGUCUCGGUAAAUUUGCAUCCCUAGAAUCUUGUUUACUGGUCCUAAGUCCUUCAUUUCAAACUCCCUAGCCAAUUGUGCCUUUAAUUCUUGAAUUCGAUCUUUGUUGGGGCCUGCUACCAACAUGUCGUCUACGCACAACAGCAAAAUGAUGAAAUCAUUGUCUUUAAACCUCUUGUAAUAUGCACAAUGGUCUAAACUGAAUCUGUUGUAUCCAAGGCGUAUCAUGAACGAAUCAAAUCUCUUAUACCAACAUUUUGGCGCAUGUUUAAGACCGUAUAGAGAUUUGUUAAACCUGUAAACCAAGUUCUCUUUUCCCUUUUCUGUAAAACCUUUUGGUUGGAGUCAAGUUCUCCUUAAAGAAAUAUAGUUUUCACAUCUAAUUGCUCUAGAUGUAGGUCAAAUGUAUCACAAAUUACCAAGAUUACUCUGACUGUUGUGAGUCGAACCACCAGAGAAAAUAUUUCGUUGAAGUCAAUACCUUCUUUCUGAGCAUAUCCUUUCACCAUCAAUCUUACACGAUACCGCUCUACUUGGUCAUUACCAUCACAUGUAAACCCAUUUGUUACCAAUGGAUUUUCUUCCAUGUGGUAAUGGUACAAGUUCUCAUGUCUUGUUCUUGUCCAGAGCCUCAAUUUCUUCCUGCAUUCCUGUCAUUCACAAAGCAAUAUUUGAACUGUUUAAAGUUUCAUGGAAAGCUGAUGGCUCUCCAUCAUCUGUUAGAAGACAGUAUGCAACAUUGAUCUCUAUGACAUACUCCGAAUGCCACGGUGGCGGUCGUCUCUCAUGAGUUGAUCCAUGAACUUCUGGAGCCUCGGACUCGACUGGUUCUUGUUCUUCGUGCUCUGGUGCUACUUUGGAAGAAUCUGAAUCUUCUGAAUUAUUUUCCACAUAUACCGGUACAAUCUCUUACUUUUCUUUUAUAAUACUAUCAUCCAUAUCUCUCAUUUACAAUUGAUCUUCUACAAAGAUAACAUCUCUGUUGAUUUUCCCACUGCUGAUGCAUACGGUACUCGAGAUAUCUCAUUCCUCUUUGCUUCAUUGCUAGGACACAUGAAGAUAAUUUGAAAUUAACAAUAAGUGGGGUAGAAAUUGGCUUAUAAUUGUGCAUGUUGAAACAUUGCAACAUUUUCUUCAAAUAGUUCUUCUGAGAAAGCCAAAUCUUCCUGUUACUUCUGUCUCGGUAAAUUUGCAUCCCUAGAAUCUUGUUUACUGGUCCUAAGUCCUUCAUUUCAAACUCCCUAGCCAAUUGUGCCUUUAAUUCUUGAAUUCGAUCUUUGUUGGGGCCUGCUACCAACAUGUCGUCUACGCACAACAGCAAAAUGAUGAAAUCAUUGUCUUUAAACCUCUUGUAAUAUGCACAAUGGUCUAAACUGAAUCUGUUGUAUCCAAGGCGUAUCAUGAACGAAUCAAAUCUCUUAUACCAACAUUUUGGCGCAUGUUUAAGACCGUAUAGAGAUUUGUUAAACCUGUAAACCAAGUUCUCUUUUCCCUUUUCUGUAAAACCUUUUGGUUGGAGUCAAGUUCUCCUUAAAGAAAUAUAGUUUUCACAUCUAAUUGCUCUAGAUGUAGGUCAAAUGUAUCACAAAUUACCAAGAUUACUCUGACUGUUGUGAGUCGAACCACCAGAGAAAAUAUUUCGUUGAAGUCAAUACCUUCUUUCUGAGCAUAUCCUUUCACCAUCAAUCUUACACGAUACCGCUCUACUUGGUCAUUACCAUCACAUGUAAACCCAUUUGUUACCAAUGGAUUUUCUUCCAUGUGGUAAUGGUACAAGUUCUCAUGUCUUGUUCUUGUCCAGAGCCUCAAUUUCUUCCUGCAUUCCUGUCAUUCACAAAGCAAUAUUUGAACUGUUUAAAGUUUCAUGGAAAGCUGAUGGCUCUCCAUCAUCUGUUAGAAGACAGUAUGCAACAUUGAUCUCUAUGACAUACUCCGAAUGCCACGGUGGCGGUCGUCUCUCAUGAGUUGAUCCAUGAACUUCUGGAGCCUCGGACUCGACUGGUUCUUGUUCUUCGUGCUCUGGUGCUACUUUGGAAGAAUCUGAAUCUUCUGAAUUAUUUUCCACAUAUACCGGUACAAUCUCUUACUUUUCUUUUAUAAUACUAUCAUCCAUAUCUCUCAUUUACAAUUGAUCUUCUACAAAGAUAACAUCUCUGUUGAUGACGAUCUUGUGAACAAUGGGGUCCCACAAACGAUACCCCUUUACUCCAUCAGCAUAUCUCAAGAAAAUACAUCUUCUAGAUUUUGGAUCCAGCUUUACUCUUUCUUAGGCAUUGUACAUCACGUAUGUAGGACAUCCGAAUGCUUGUAGGUGAGAAAUAAUUUGCUCGUUUUUCAGUCCACAUCUCUAUUGGAGUCUUCAACCCAAUUGCCGUGGAGGACGACUGAUUUACUAUAUAACAAGCAAUUUUGGCUGCUUUUGCCCAAAAUGAAUUACGUAGACCGCAAUCCUCAACAUAACUCUUAUUCUUUCUGUAAGAGUUCUGUUCAUCCGUUCUACCACUCCAUUUUAUUGAGGAGUGUAUACCACCGUGAACUGCCUCUAAAUACCUUCUUGCUUCCAGAAAACAAGAAACUCGCCGCCUAUAUACUCUCCACCAUUAUUUGUCCUCAAGCACUUGAUCAUUUUGACAGAUUCAAGUUCCACCCACGCUUUGUAUUCUUUAACCAUUGGAAACACAUCUGACUUUUUCUUGAUUGGAUACGCCCAAUAUCUUCUGAAAUAAUCAUCAAUAAAAGUCACCAAGUAUUUUUCACCUCCCAUUGACAUAUCUGACGAUUCCCAAAUAUAAGAAUGAAUCAAGUUUAAAAUGCAUUUACUUCUAGUAACAGAUCUACUGAAUUUUAAUAUAUAUUGCUUACUUGUAGCACAAUGUUCGCAAAAUGGUAAGCUUAUUGAUUUGAGCCUUAAAAGAAAUUUUCGCUCAGUGAGAAUAUUCAAACCUUGCUCUGACAUGUGGCCAAGUUGAAAUGCCACAUCAUCGUUGACUCUUCUCCAUUUAACGUGACACACGCAUCAACUUCCUGUAGUGUUUCCUCUUUAAGUAUGAAUAGAUUAGCACCGAUCUUUUCCGCCUCUAUCAAUACAAGCGCGCCUCUAGCAAUCUUCAUGAUCUCAUUUUUAACAUGAGUUUUGCACAUAUGAUUAUCUAUUUGUCCCAGAGACAAUAGAUUAUUCUUUAGGUCUUUGACAUGCUGUAUCUCUUUAAUUGUACGAAUUGUACCAUCAAACAUUUUGAUUUUGAUUGUACCAAUACCAGUGAUCUCCAAGGUAUGAUCAUUUCCCAUAUAUACAAAUCCUCCUGAGAUAGGUUCAUAUGUGUGGAACUAUUCUCUCCGAGAGGUCAUAUGUCAAAUACCUCCUGAAUUUAUAAGCCAGAUGUCAGAUAACCAUUUUCUGCCUUCUGAAACAAUUGUUGUCUCACUGUAGAGAAUUUCGCUAUCAUCCGAGGUAUUUGCUACACACUCCUGAGCAUUUGAUGACUCGGGUUCUUUGUCAUCUCUUCUUUUCUGAUUGUUCCAACACUCUUUCUUGACGUGCCCUUUCUUGCCACAGUUGUAGCAUUUAACAUUCUUCUUACUUUUAAAUUUUGAUAUACUAUGAUUGUGACUCCCACUUGGGCCACGUUCCGUUGAUUUCCCUCUCAUCACCGAUAGCGCCUCCACUUGCUGUGAACUUGCUUGUCAAUUUUUCUUAUUUUUCCGCCUGCUCUCCUAAUUUAAUACGAAGGUUGCAUCAUAAAAAAUUAGAUUGUCCGCUGGAUUGUUGUUCGUCAAGUUGAUGAUGAGUUGAUCAUACGAAUCUAGUAAACUUUGAAGUAGAAUCUCUGCACAUUCAUUUUCCUCUAUUUUAUGACCCAACGUUGUUAGUUUUGAAAAUAGAGUCUUCAAGGUGUUGAUAUGGUUGGUCAUCAAUGUACAUUCUGCCAUUCGAAGAGUAUAGAGUUUCCUCUUCAAGAAGAUUUUGUUGUGUAGUGACUUGGCUUCGUACAAUUUUGUGAGAGUAUCCCAUAUUUUCUUCGCUGUCUUUUUCUCCUCUACACUAAAUAAUACCUCAUCUGUAAGUGUUAGGUGCAGAUCAGCAAUGGCAUUGCUAUCUAUCUCAUUUUAUUUUUCAUCAUCAGUUAUCUAUAUGGGUCUUUCUCCAAUUACUGCUAAGCAAUUAUUUUUCCUCAGAAUUAUCUGCAUCUUCAUUUUCUAUAACGAGAAAUUAUUCCCGUUGAACUUCUUAAUUUUAUACUUUGUCGCCAUUUUAUUGAUAAAUACUGCACACAAGCUAGUGUACCACCCUAAAUAGUUGUGAGCAUGUGUGAGAAUGCACAUAAAGAAAGUUCCCAGGAAAGAUUGGAUGGGUCACAAUGGUCCCACUUAAAAUCUAGACUCUUUAGGCUCUUAUCGCCUUUGUGACAUAACUUUCCUAAAUAUGUACAAAACCACACAGUUGCUUUACUCACACCACUAUUCCCUGCUUUACACCACAAUAUUCUUGAAUCGCUCCCACCAUUUCUAUCAUAUAUAUGAACAGUGUCGUAUACGUUAAUAGUAUCUUAUACGUGAACAAUACAUAGAGACCAAGUACAAUUUUGUAAGAGAAAUUGUAGCACAAAGAGAAGUGCUAAUCAAUACGCAUCUAUACAUUUUAUUGUAGCAGACCCAUUUACAAAGCCAUAACACGAGAUGUUUACUUGAAAUAUACUCGAUCAUUGGGCUUACGUAGAUUGUAAGAUUGUACUUGAUGAAAUAUUAUUUUUUGAGUAAUGGACAUGUGAUAAGUUUUUCAUAUGAUUAAAUUCUUAUUAUCGUUUGUCCAUAUAAAUUUUUUUUAUUACACAUAUUUAGAGUAAAGUUAUGUCAUCAGAUUUUGAUUGGCUUUCUUACACAAGCGAUCGCCUCACUUCCUAGAAAAGCAAACUGAGAUGAGAUAAUAGAGACAUAAUUAGAGACUAUGUACAUUCUCAUGGAGCAUUUAUAAAUGUGUUGCCUUGACUGGGUCAAGAUGAGGUUUAUUUAUAAUAAAUAUAAAACUAACUAUGAUAUACCCAAUAAUCAUGAAAACAUGAUUAAAGCCAGAUGUGAGUCUUCUAAUUUAGCUCUUUAGAUAAGCGAACUUAUUAAAAACUCAAAUUAGGUGUUUAAGUAGCGACUGAACUAAGAUCUAUAUAGUGAAAUAAUUUAGACAUACGCUCUCAGAAAAGAGAAUUCAUUGUAGCACAUAUUUCAAACAAUGUGUGCUUUAAUGACCAAAUAAAGAAAAAUGAGAAAAUUUCCCUUAUUUCUCAUUGUGUAAAGUUUCUUUGAGGUAUUAUAAACCUCAAUAAGUAUCCUUACAUACUAUCAGCUAUAUUUUAAGGUGAUAGAUUAGUAUUUGCUACUUUAAACUUGUUUUCUAAAGCUAUGAUGUUAUUCAGUUUAUGAAACAAGUUUAGGAAAGCAGUUAAUCUAAAACUAAGAAAUAGAAGAGUGAUGAGAAGAUUUAUUACUUAUAUCUACCUUAUAUUUUUCACUGGUACCGAUUGUAUAAUCUAGGAUUGAUAUAAUUGUGAUUACAUAAAGUGUAUAUUAUCAGGCAUAGCUUUUGAUACGGGACUUAGUAUGCUUGAAUUUGAUGUAAUAAUAUGGAAUCUAAGAUAGAUGACGAACAACACUUUUGAUAAUAAAGCUCUUGCUUAUUGUUCAUGGGUCACACAUUGCAUUUGCUAGUAUGAUAAUUGAGUUUUGAGGCUUGAACAGAUAAUUCUCGUUGCACCAUAAACAUCCCAUCAUGUGUGAAUGAGAGAUGUUGGAAAUAUAUAUAUAUUAGAGGCUUCUAGGGUUGGUUGUAGGAGGUUUUUAGAGGAGAACCAAUCUUUGAUCAUGUUAACAGUCAAUUUGGACUGUUCAUCAAAUUUUGACUACCAUUUGACUUUGAAGGUUCUUUGAAGGAUGACUUGGGACUCAUGGGUAUGAAAUCAGAGGUUCCACAUCCAGACCCAUGGUAGGAAGAAGUUUGUACAAAAACAGAGAAAAGGGGGAAAUCUUUUCUCUGAGUCAGAAGGAUUAUAAUGGGUUUUAAAGAGGUUUAAACAAUUUGUGGCAUUUGGAGUUAGGAUUUGAGGUAUUGGUCCGAAGAAGUUCCACCAAUGAUGAAACCAAUUAGGUAGGCUUUGGACGGUUAUUUUUGAAUUAAAGAAAAAUAACCAAGAAUGGGAUUUUUUAGGGUUUUGGAUAAAAAAGGUGUUAUACUAGGCUUGUUGGUAAUCCCAGUAGGAAAAAGUCCGACAAUGUGGUAAACGGGUCUCAAAAUUUAAAGGAAAGAUCAGUAUGGUAAAAUCCAUCUUCCAUAGAAAGAAUGUUUUGAAAAUGGGUUUUAUCAAACCAAUCGGAGGUUUUCUUUGAAGGUGUUGGCUGGGAAAGCACAAUUUGGGAAGAUGAGCUUUCAGCAGACACAACAAUAUUUUGAGAAGAGGGUUUAUCAAUUUCUUUUUUAGGAGAAAUUUGGCUUUGAGAAAGGUUUUGUAGGGCGAGCAUGAGCUCUGGGGAUUUUGUAAUGGAACUCAUCCAUUGCUUUACUUGGUCAUCAGAAGAAAUAGAUUUGUAUUGGGCUCCAUGAUCUUCAACCAUUUCUAUCCAAGAUUUAAUGGGCAUGGCAGAAGAAAGUAGUUUUUCUUUAGAAGGGGUUGACUGAGGUUCUUUAGAAGGUUCUUGAGAACCAGUAACUUUGAGGACUGCUUUACCUUUAUCUUUUUUCUUUGGCGGCAUUAUCUGUUUUGAAGAAAUUCUCUGGUUAGAAAAUCAGGAACAGAAUUUUUGUCACCUUUAAUAAACUCAAUAUCAAAAUCAAAAACACUUAAAAUAGCUUGCCAUCGUGCAAAAAUCUGUUUUGAUGCAAUGUUUUGCACAUUUUUUUCUAAAACAUGUUUUGCUGCUUUGCUGCUGUACGGCCAAGGCGGAUGUACGGUACAGCAGUUCUGGCAAUCAUUCCAAUGUGCAGAAACAUAUUGUACUAUCUGUUCUUUGUCAUUUUCUUUUUGUUUUAAUAUACCUCCAUAACCUAUAUCAGAUGCAUCAGUUUCAACAAUUUUAGGUAAUGCAGGAUUUGCAAGAAAUAAGCAUGGAAUAUUUUUCACAGACUGCUUUAUUAAUCUAACAACUUUGGUAUGUUCUUCUGACCAGGCAACGGGAUUCUUUUUCAACCUAUCAUGCAAAGGUUUAAACAUCCUAUUGAUAUUGGGGCAAAAAUCGAGAACAUAAUUUCUGUACGGCCAAGGCGGAUGUACGGUACAGCAGAAGCAGCAACCUAUCAUGCAAAGGUUUAGACAUCCUAUUGAUAUUAGGGCAAAAAUCGAGAACAUAAUUUAAACUACCAAGAAAUCUUUGUAAUUGGGUUUUGUCCAGAAUUUUGUCUGGGAAUUUAUCUGCAAACAAAAGUGAUCUCUCUAUUGGAGUGAUAGUUCCUUUGGAAAUAUGAUGACCAAGGAACCGGACAUUUGUUUGGAAUAAAGAAAUUUUUGAACUAGAAAGGGCUAAUCCAGCCUUUUUUGUAACAAGAUAAAAAGUCUUUAAAUGUUUGAAAUGUUGAUCAAUACUUCGAGAAAAAAUCAACACAUCAUCAAUAUAAACGAUGUAAAACUCAGAAUAGGGAUUAUAAAUAUCGUUCAUGAUUCUUUGAAAUUCUGAGGGUGCAUUUUUCAAACCAAAAGGCAUUACUGUCCAUUCGUAUUGCCCAAAGGGAACAGUAAAAGCUGUUUUAUAUCGAUCUUUAGGGUGAAUUUGUAUUUGCCAAAAACCAGACUUCAUAUCAAAUUUAGAAAAAAUGAAAGCUGAACAAAGUUUUUGGAGCAAAUCUUUUUUAUUAGGUAUUGGGUACCUAAUCCAUUUUAAAGCUUUAUUCAAAGGUUUGUAAUUUAUCACAAGUCUAGGAACGCCUCUUUCAAUUUCAGAAUUUUUGUUGACAUAAAAAGCGGCACAAGACCAUGGGGACCUUGACUUAACAAUGAGUCCUUUUGACUCUAAAUCUUUGAUUUCAUUUUUGCAAUGUUGUUCCAAUUCCAUGUUCAUCUGGAUUGGACGUGCUUUAGUGGGUAUUUAUUUUUCAUCAAACGAAUUUUCAUAAGGCAAAUGUACCAAAUGUUGUUUUCUAUUCCAAAAAGCAGAUGGUAAAUCGGCACAUAUUUCUGCUGUACCGUACAUCCGCCUUGGCCGUACAGCAGUAGAUUUUCUCUUCUAAAUCACUGUGUAAAAAUGCAGUUUUUACAUCAAGUUGAACUAGUUCAAGAUCAAAUUGUGCAACCAUGGCUAGCAAAAUUCAAAUAGACGAGUGUUUCACAGCUGGAGAAAAUACCUCAUUGUAGUCUAUUCCUUCCUUCUGAGUGUAACCCUUCGCUACCAAUCUAACCUUGUAUCGAAUUUCAUUUUUACGAGGAAAUCCUUCCUUUUUUGCAUAUACCCAUUUGCACCCAAUUGCCUUCUUUUCCUUGGGUAAUGUAACUAACUCCCAAGUUUCAUUUUUGUGAAGAGACUGCAUUUUUUCGUUCAUUGCUUUCUUCCACUGUAUACUUUCUGGGUUACUUACUGCUUCUCUGUAAGUGGAAGGAACAUUAUCAUCUACAAUUGGAAGUGCAUAGGCCACCAUAUCAACAAAGCGAGCAGGUCUGCGAAUUUCUCUACGUGGCCUUCUAUAUGCAAUUGAAUCUUGUUGUUGUGAAGGUUCCUGGGUCAGAACCUCUUCAUCAUCAUCGGUCGAUGGAGAAUCACUAUCCAUCUCAUCAACACCAGCUGGAUCAGCUUUAACUUUUUCAAACUCCACCUGCUGCAAAUUGCUACUGGUCUUGUCAUCCUCUUGAGAAUCUUUUUGUUUCAACAUGGUUGAUUCAUCAAAAGUUACAUCUCUGCCGAAAAUAAUCUUCUUCGUAAUAGGACACCAGAGACGAUAUCCUUUUACUCCACCAAUUAUACCUAUGAACAAUGCUUUCUUUGCUCUUGGGUCUAACUUAGAUUCCUUUACAUAAUAAUAAGCAGUGGAACCAAAAACAUGUAAAGAAUCAUAAUCAGUAGCAGGUUUACAAGUCCACAUCUUCAUGGGUGUUUUGCCCUCAAUUGCAGUUGAUGGCAAACGGUUGAUCAAAUGGCAUGCAUAUACAACUGCUUCAGCCUAAAACUCUUUGCCCAAUCCAGCAUUGGACAACAUACACCGAACUUUCUCCAGUAUAUUUUAACAAUUGGGACUUUAGAAGUCUCGGCUUUAUUAAAAUCCAAAGUUUUCAAAAGUUUAUCAAGAUAUUCUUUUUGAAGAUUUGGAUCAGAAAUAUGAUUUACAAUUUCAAGAAAAAUUUCUUGGUCUUUAGUCAAAACAUUGAUUUUCUUUAAAUAUGAAUCGGAUUCAGAUUCACUACUGCUAGAUACAGAGUCAUCUGAGUCAAAAAGCUCAUCAACUUGAUAUGGAUCACUGUCUCCCGACAUGGAAGAUUCGGAAUCAGAAGAUUCGACCAGAAGGGGGGCUAAUUUGGAAAGGAUCUCUUCAUCGAGGUCAAGUUCAUGAAGCUUUUUGUUCAUCCUGCAACAAUUUGCAGUAUGACCUUUCAUGCCACAUUUAUGACAUAUAGCUUCUUUGUAAUUGAAAGGGGUUUUUGUUUUGGCUCUAAACUCUUUUCUUUUAGAGAAUUUAGAUUUCUUAUAAGGCCUCGAAGGUUUCUUAUAAGGAAGUUCCCUAAAAUUACGGAAGGGUUUCCUAAAAUUUUUUGAUUUGUAAUGUUUCCUGCGAGGUUUAGUAGAACACUCGCCAUUACAAUCUUUGGAAUAAGAAGUUUUAAAGGGGUCAUAAUUGAAUUGUUUGCAGAAACUGCCUAAUUCUUGUUUAGACUUCUUAAGCUCCCACUUAAGACGUUUCUGUAAUUUCAAAUCUUGACAAAUCUUUAAACCUUCUUUAUUGACGAAACUGACAAGUUCACCAUAGGUAAGCUCAUCAUAAGGAAUACGAUUAUCAUAAAGGGCUUUGAUGAAAUUUCUUACUUUUUCACCUAGAAGGGUAGGUAAUCCAGCAAGAAAUUUUUCUUUCCAGGUUAUAUGAUUUGCAUCAUCCCUUAGAAAUAGUCUGGUGAAAAAAGAGGUUUUAUAGCUCUGAAAUUCACUAAGUUUUCUACAUCUUAAAUUAUGUAGUAACUCAGCGUUUUUAUCACGAAGGUGUGAAGGGUCACCAAUGAAAUGGAGGGAAAUGGUUAAAAUUAGAGUAGCAACAGCAUCCUGAAUUGGAUUGUUGAGCUCAUCAAGAAUAGGGACUCCAUUUUCAUCGACUUGAAUGGAAUUUAGAAUGUCUAAUUGUUGCUGAUUAGUGAGAAGAUGAUCCCACCAACCUUUUAGUUGACCAGUAAAACCGGCAAUUAGGAUUUCUGAUAUAGCACGAUCAGAGGUUCCUGCUUGGGUUUUAUAGGCAUUGGCUGCCAUUGUCAUCUGUUGCAACAAUCCUAGGAUAUUGUACUCGGACAUGCCGUCAAUAUUCCACUCAUAGACUGAAGAUGCAUUAUAUCUGGAUUGAUUUAAUGCACUUGGUCUAUUAUCUAUUGCUAGAUCCGAUGAAGUCUUGACAGUAGGAAUGGCUAAUUCCCAAUGGAUUUUGUUGGCUUUAGGAGUGGGUUCCUCUUGGAAGGCUUCUACGUCCGAAGAGGCUAUAGAAGUUUGGUCAUCUUUCUCUAAUACUCCAAUCUUGCUAGAUUGAGGAGUAUCAGGGGCUAUCUGAACUUUGCUAGAUGAGGAAGAAGCAGCUUCUAUCCUAUCUAAUUGUUCUCUAAUGGCUUUACUAUCACUUUGAGGUCACCCAUGAGGGAAGCAUGAUCAAGAGCAAGUGAUCAUUUUGAGUUCUAUAAUAUCUUAAAUAUUAUAUUGUAAGAUAUUAAGUAAUCAUUAAGAAGAUUAUCAAUCCAACAAUUGUUUAAGCUUAUUUAGUGAUCAUUGAGAAGAUAAUCACUACUCUUGGAAUGCUAUAAAUAGAGUGCAAAUCCAUAGAGAAAGAGAGGUUAAGCAAAAAAUAAGUAAAGUGCAAUUUGGAGAAAAUUCAAUACAAAAGAAGUUUAGAGGGUUCUUGCAACAUGAAUUGAGAGGAUUUUCUGACUUUGUGAUAAUCCUCCGACCAUAAAUCAAUAGCACAACCUUGGUUUAUCGAUUUUCUGCAUAUAACCCAUGUAUGUAUUUAAAUUCGGAUUUACAAGUUUUUAUCUUGAUUCUUGCUCGAAAAUCAACAAUACGAAAUGUACGGAUAUUUUCAGAAACGAAGAUGAUCGAUCAAAGCACUUCCAGGAGAAGCACCCUUGCCCACCGGCCAAAGGAAGACACACUCAGUGAACUCGGAGAAAGAAUCGCCUUUAGUUGUUUUCUUGAUUUUUUUUUUUUUGUUUAAGCUUUUUGGUGUUUAGGUUUAUGAAGGGGAAGCAACACAAGUUGCUUCAGGUAUUGCGCUCUUUCUCGUUCUUUAUAAGUUUUGGCCAUUUCUUUAGGUUCGACUUGUUAAUUUCUUAAAUAAACUGUUAUUUUAGUUUGAUUUAGGUUACUAGAACAGAGUAGUGGGAUAGAUGGAUUUUUUGUCUGUGAGUACCUAGACCUUGAUCUGCAUUCAUUCAUCACCAUGCAUAAGACCACUUUGAAUUUGCUCAUUAUAAAGGUAAGUAGGAUUGUUUACUUUAUUCUAUCUAGUACUUUUUUUGCUCGCUGUGAUACUUUGAAUGAGUAUAGUUGUUCUAUCAGAAAGCAUAUUUUACAUGGUUUGAUGAUUUCUUUUUGUAAAAUUAAAAUGCUUGAAAUUAUUGUUUCACAUUUGUUUUGUUAGUGGAGAUGAAUCUUUUCACAGAAGGAAAGCAUACAAUCUUCAUUUCUUGUGUUAGAAAAUUGAAAUGAAUAGAUUUCAAAUAGUAUGUUAACGAUUCAAUAUCUUUUUGGCUUUUUAAUUGUCUGUCUAUAUAUUUUUGAGAGUAAACAUUUUUUUACAUUCAUCUGUUCAAGAUUGUAGUAUUGACCUACGAUUUUGGGGUAAUUUAUGUAGUCGUAUAAAUCCGCCAACGUGGGUUUGACAGAUUUUAUUUGUACCUUUAAUUUGUUAGCAUUUUUUAGAUUUUUUUUUAAUAAUAAUAUGGUAUGACAUGUAAUCUAUCUAUAAGUUAGAUAAGCCAAUAUUCGACCUGAGCCCGACAAAGAUAACCUCAAUUAAAUAUACUCCUAAUCUCCUACCGGUUAAUAAUUUGGGUAAUUAAACACUUUUUUUUUGUGUUUUAAUUUCUCAUUUCAUCUCGAAGCAUCAGAUAGUUUUGGAUGCAAGUCCAUCAGUUUUUUCGAAAGUACACCCACUGAUUUUCCAAAUUCUUUUUUUUUUUUUUUUCUCAAAAGAUUUGAAUCCAAGUGAAAAAAUUGCGGAUUCAUAAAAAAUAAUAAGAACUCUUUGAAGCGGAAGUAGAAAAUCACAUGUCAAUGGAAAGUGUACAAAAUCACAUGUCAAUGGAAAGUAAACAAAAUCACAUAUCAAUGAAAUUGUAAAUAUCGUGCAGUGAGAAGCUAGCAGCCUAUGUAUAUAUAUUUAGAUCAAUAACAGUCAUUAAGCAAAGAGAUCAAGCCAAAGUUUUCACAAUACAGAGAACCUUGUAGCAAGGCAGUAGAAUGAAACUACUAACGCCAAAGAAUGUAAAGUGUCUGAAUUUUGGUUAUAAUUUCUAUCUCUAGCUGUAUUAAUCGAAGUACCGGUGUGCCAGCCAAUCCCAAAUUUUACGAAGAUAAUAACAAGUACGCUGAGCAGACCGCAGCUAAUUUACGAACUUCUGUAACUAACAGACCUUCAAUCUAGUUAGUUGGAUUAAAUAUAAAAAAUCUGACAGAUGCUAAUCAGUUUAAAUUAAAAGUAAGAUGUUAGGACGACGGGCUAAAAGGGGCUUCGGCAGCCGGUAGAAUGGGUUAAUCUUUAUAUAUACAUCUCAAUAUAUAAAGUUCAUGACUUUCAAAUUGUUUAAUAUAACCCAUAUUAAAUAACAAAAAAAAAAAAAGACAAUUACUAUUAUAUUGUAAGUAUGUAUUUAUUAAAAUAAAUUUAAAAUGUAAAUCUAUAAAGAACAACCAAAAUAAAAUACAAUUUUCUUUAAAAUAAUUUUUGAAACUUUUAAUUAGUAAAAAAUAAUAUUUAUACUUAUAUUGAAAUAUUUCAAAUAAUUAAUUUAAAAAUUAUAUGAAAAAGUAAACAAAUUGUGUCAUGUGUAACUUUUCUCAUUCAAAUUAACAGAAUUUAGGAAUGGAAAUUUGUAUAUGUAUCUUUUUGGCAAUGUUAGAUUUUUCUUUUUUCAGUCGCUUUUUUGUAAUGAACCUUUUCCCUAAAUAAUAUGCUGGAAUGAAAAAAUAUUGUAGGUCCUAAUACAACUUAUAUUACUUUUGACAACCAUCUAAUUCUCCACUAAAACCACAAUAAUCUUUCUCUUAAUCUUAGUUUCUCUCCACAUCAAAUUUAGUACUAAAAAAAUUACUUAAAAAUCAAUAAAUAUUCUCAAUUCCAAGCACCGGAGACCUUGUGGCAUGAUGAUAAUUAUAAUUCGUUCCUAUGAUAGUUUUUCUACAAAAAAUCAACUUAGUGACAAAGAUAGAAAACAACUAUGGUGCAACAUUUAUAGGAGAAUUUUUUUAAAAAUAAAAUCAAUGUGUAAUAAUUAUUUAGUUAUAUAGGCCGCAAGUAUAUUCUGAUAUUUGGAAGGAUGUGUAAACUAAAAUUUAAUUUUUUUGAACUUAUUAAAGAAUGUACAAAUGAAAGAGUGUUCUAAGUAAUCCCAUCAUAAGUUAUAUUUCGCCUUUUUAUUAAUAAUUAAUUUUUACAUUUCGUCAAGUUCAAUAAUAAAAGAAACUAAUAUGGCAUCACACUCACAGGGUGCGUUUCCAAAUUCAGCAACCGCAUACAUUUAUAAAACUGGUUUUAUUUACCAGAUAGAGAGUGGUCAGUCCAGUUUGGUUUCUCAUCCUGCAUCGCAUGUGCCACACUCAAAAUUAAUAACUUGCCCCAUUGAGUGCCAACUACCAAGCAUCAUUAUUUUCAAUCACUUGAAAUCAUAUAGCAGACUUAGACACUUAAAUUAAGGGAGUUUAAUUGAAAAAAAAAAUUAACUUGGGGUGUUUAUUUUUUAUUUGUUUAUUUGAACACAUUUUAAGUCUCAUAAACUCAAAUUAUAUUAUUUUCUUUUAAAUUUUAAAAAAUAAUAGUAAUAAAUUACUUAUUUUAAAUGUUGAGCUUGUUCUGGCCACAUUUGUGAAGGUAUCUUUUUUCCAUUAUUUUCUUUAAAAUUUUUAAAAGUAAUAGUAAUAAAUUAUUUAUUUUAUAAUUUGAGUUUGUUUUGGUCACAUUUACUAGGGUAUCAUUUUUCUAUGUAAUUUCUACAAAAUAUUUUAAAAAAAGUUAUGUGGCUAUUGGGAUUUGAAUCAAGUCUUCAAAACCACUAAAUAACACUAUUACCACUAAACUAUAAAUUUUUUCUCAUAUAAGAAAUGUAUUCAAAUUCUUUUUAUUUAAUCAUUUUAGAAGAGAUUGGAGGCACAUUUUAAAAAAGCCUUAUCCUGGUUUAACGGCCCUCGUUGUGCCAUUCGGCCUUUGGUGCCAAGAGAGUAUGAAUUGGCACUUAAGGCCGCACAACACAACAAGGGAACAAGCGGGUCAUGAUAUUUGGUAUCAGAGCCAUAAUCACUUGUGGGGUGAUUGCGUUGUUUGAGAGGAAGGACGUCAAACCUCACUCAUGAUGACCAAAGGGGGACGGAGCAAAACUCCAAUGCGAAGAAGGGGAAGAAUAACAAGAAGAAACGCACAAAUUCCAGCUCACAAAGCAUUGUAAGCUUUCUUUAAGUAAUAAGAGUUCUUUCCUCCCAUCUUGAGCGAGUUUGAGAACCAUGGAAACAUUUGAGAAGUGAAAUAUGAAAUACUGGGUGGAUUUUAGAACCACUUGGCAAUGCAAGCUUAUAAGCUACAAGACCAAUUCGAGCUAGCACAGAGAAAUGACCAUAGUACCGUUUAGCUAGCUUUUGACAAGAAUGAGUUGCCACUGUGGAUUGGCGAUAGGGCUGAAGUUUCACUAGAACUUGGUCCCCAAUAGCAAAUUGAGCUUGACGCAAAUUCUCUUUCAAAGAGCGGAGUAACGCAUCCCGCUCACUUAAUGCUUCAUCAAGAGCUUGGAUUGAAGUAGAGCCCUUGGAGUAAGGAGGGAUUGAUGGAGGUGGCCGCCCAAAAAGAGCCUGAAAAGGAGAUAUUUUGAUGUUGCUAUGAUAAGAAGAAUUGUCAGAAAAUUCAGCCCACCCGAGUAGAGAUACCCAUGAAAUUGGUUUUUUUUCAGUGAAAGCAUGGAGAUAUUGUUCCAAUCCGUGAUUGACAACCUCCGAUUGUCCAUCUGUUUGUGGGUGAUAGGUGGUACUGUGGCGAAGAGUAGUGCCACUUAACUCAAAUAAUUUCUUCUAAAAAUCGCUCAAGAAUACAGGAUCACAAUCAGAGAUAAUAGAGCUAGGAAAACCAUAAAGCUUGAUAACCAUAUCCACAAAUAAUUCGGCUAUCUUCACAGCAGUAAAUUGAGUUGGAAGGGGUCCAAAGUGCGCUGAUUUAAUAAGGCGAUCAACAACUACCAAGAUCACGGAGAAACCGCGAGAAACCGGAAGGCUAGUAAUGAAGAGACUGCACUGGCCCCGCUGGUGCUUGAGUGGAAUAUUUGGUUUGUUGACACACAAGGCACUCAGCCACAAAUCACUCAACAUCACUACGCAUUUUAGGCCAAAAGAAAGUAGAUGCCAAUCGGACUAACAUGCGUUUGAUGCCUGCAUGUCCAGCAAGUGGAGUAGAGUGGAAUUCAGCCAAUAAAACAGCUUUUAAUGAUGAUAAAGGACUGAUAUAAUAGCAAUGGUGAUAAAGAAGAAACCUAUUUUGGACCGAGUAAUCACUUGAAAGAGAGCCUGAAACAAAUUGGUGAUGAAGAUCAGUCAUAUUAGGAAGAGUGGAAUUCUCGGAAUGUAGGGUUGCUAACAACUCAAACGAAGGAUGACUAAGAAAAGGCAAACAAGAGGCAGGCCUUGUUAAUGGUUCCACACUAGCCUCCUCAUGAACGCGUGAUAAGGCAUCUGCUGCAAGAUUAGUGCAACUUGGUUUAUAAUCAAUGCGGAAGUGAUAGCCUAAUAAUUUUCUGAUGUAAACUUGCUGAUCCGGAGUCUAGACUACUUGUUGUAGGAGUUCUUUAAUGCUUUUAUGAUCCGUUCGGACUACAAAAAAUUUGUCUAACAAGUAUUAGUGCCAUUUAUGCACUGCUUCAACAAUAUCAGUCAAUUCUUUGAGGUAUGUAGAAUAAGCACGAAGUCGAGGGCCUAAUUUCUUGCUGAAGUAACAUAUGGGGUGUCCAUAUUACAUAAGCACAACCCUUAUCCCCACAAUAGAUGCGUCAGUCUCAAGAAUGAAUUCAGAGUCAAAAUCUGGCCGCCGCAACACCGGGGCUUCCACCAUUGCUCUACUCUCUUAAGAGCUUCAAAUGCUUCGGUUGUUGCUUGUGUCCACUUGAAGGCGUCUUUACAUAGUAAGUCGAUAAGGGGUGCUGCUAAAGAAGCAUAGCCAUGAAUAAACCACUGAUAAUAACCCGUCAAACCUAAAAAACC
rnacentral:lncRNA from 1 species